rnacentral:lncRNA from 1 species
UAUUUUUCACAAUUGCAUUUUUUUUCAUAAGAAAUACUAAUCAUCUGUUACUUUUAGGCAUAUCAAAUGUUAUAUGGUAUGAUAGAUUUUCUUAAUCAUGAAAUGUGAUCAAUACUUGCAUAAAAAAGUUUAGUAGUUUACAGAAAUGACAAGAAUUUUUUAUAUCUGACGGCUAAAUAUUUUUAAUGCUCAAGUUGUACCGAAACAUCUCCUCUUUGUUAGCCUAAUCCGUAUGAAGAAGCCCCGAUUUAUAAGUGCUUCAAUGCUAGUAAUCUUUUUCUUUCUAAGUUGGUGGGACUUACAUGUGAAUUGGGUUUAUUUACAUGUUGGUGUGUACUGUCUAAGUGUAUAUUCUCCAACUGUGCACUUGGGUAAGGGUAGACUAGUUAAGAAUCCAAAUUUGAGUAUGUUCAUAACCUGUUCCCCUUCUCUUUCAAGAAAACUUAAUUUCAAAAUGUAAAAACAUGUUGGGUAGUAAAUCUUCAUUAGCUUCUUCUUAAUAACAGAGGGCUGACAGCUAACUUUACCUUUAUGUCCUAGCUAGUUUGCCUUUAAUAAGCACCUUUCCCUUAAGUUAUGCAAGUGUGUCUUGUGAUCCAUUGAUUAAAUGUUUUGAAUCGACAAACUUGUAUGACUUACAGAAAUUGAUGGUCUGUGGCUGAUUGUCUUUAUCUUUUAUGACACAAUCAUUUGAAAUGAAUAUCGAAUUGUGACAGUCACAACCAAGGUUCCAACCUGAAAAUCUGGAGCAUAACAAACGCCUGUAUGAGCAAGUUAAUGAGAUAGCAGCGAAGAAGGGGUGCACCCCAUCACAGCUUGCAUUGGCUUGGGUCCAUCACCAAGGGAAUGAUGUCUGUCCCAUUCCCGGAACCACGAAAAUCGAAAACUUCAAUCAGAACAUUGGAGCUUUGUCCGUAAAAUUAACAGCUGAAGAGAUGGCUGAGCUAGAAUCCAUUGCUUCAGCAGAUGCCGUGAAGGGAGAUAGAUAUGGUGAAGGUAUCUCUACUUACAAUGACUCUGAGACUCCUCCCUUGUCUUCAUGGAAACCUGAAUGAGGCUUAUACUACCAUAUUGAUACAAUCUUCAUGUGAGGUAACACCUUGUAUUGUGUUUUAAAAUCAUAAGUCUCUCCACUUUGUAUUAUGAGAGUAAGUGUUCUGUCACAAGUACAACGGGUUUUGUGGUAAUAGAUUGUAGCUGUCGAAGUGUGUCAUGUUAAGAUUGUCUGUUCCUAAGUAAUUAAGCAAAAUACAAUUUUUAUGAUGAGGCAACACCUUGGAUUGUGUUUUAAAAUCACGAGUCUCUCUACUAUGUAUUCCGAGAAUAAAUAUUCUGUCAGAAGUACAACGGGUCUUGUGGUGAUAGAUUGUAGCUAUCUAAGUGUGUCAUGUUCAGAUUGUCUGUUCCAAGGUAAUUAAGCAAAAGUUUGUCAGAAAAUAAGGUGUUAUAUCAGAACUAUCCUUGGUCUUCUGAUGAUGGCUGGCAACUUGAUUGUGCGUUUCUAGGACAGAGCAUCUGUCGGUUACAACCGAGCAACCGAUCAGAACUGAUUACAAUAGCAACCGCCGGCUCAGUUAUUCGAUGGUGGUUGCUGGUGUCGGUUGUGACUGACGGUCUUGGGACCAUCGCGGUUCAGCACUGAGGGCACUCUCCCCAACCGAACCGAACCGAUAAAAAAACCGAGGAAACCUUCUUGCCACUCAACAACCUAACGUUCAACCCCUGAUUCGAGCUUGCCCCGAAAAACAAGAUCAAAGGCCGACCAAACUUAAGUGCCUCGAUAAUUGAACUCCAACCAUAGUGAGUUAAGAACCCCCAACAGAGGAGUGAGCCAAUAUCCGUAGUUGAGGUGCCCAAUCCUUCAACAUCAAGCCCUUAUCAGAAACUCGCUCCUCAAACCCUAGAGGGAUUAAUUUAUAGUGUAUUUCUUGAAUUUAGAUUAAUUACAUUACAUAAAUUACUAAAUUAUAUUAGGUAUAAUUUAUGAAAAUUUUUUAUUUUAUUUAAUAUUUUUGUUAAUCAAUUUAAUAUAUAAUGUUUAUUAUUUUUAAAAAAAAUAAAUUAUUGAUUUUACAUUCUUAUAAAUAAUAAUGCGAUGUUUAUUAUUUUUAUUAAAAAAUUAUAUAGUGUUUACUUAUAUGGUUAAAAAUAAAUUUCAUGGGUUAGACUAAUUAUUUAAACAUGGUUACAUGGGUUUGAUUUUAAUUAAAAAUAUAGAUUUCACACACUUUUAAAUCUAAGCCCAACACAAAAUUUUCAACUUUUACUAACUUUGGACUAUUUAAGUCUAGGUCUACUUAAAAUUUCAACCAAUUGAAAUUGAGGUUGACUUCAAUUGAUCGGUUUUUCAUUGUAAUAGAUCAGUUUCGGUCUAUUGAAAUUUUUCAUCAAUUUCAUCGAUUUUGAUUUUUCCUGAAAUCGACUAAUACACUUCCGUAUAUGUUUUUGACUCGAUCAUGUUAAGAAAAACAAAGUGUUUCUGUUUUUCUCAAACAUUUUGAUCUCAAACAUGCUUCCUUCUCUUUGAUAAUACGAGGAAUCUCUCCCCCAACAAAUUAAUAUUUGGUUUCACUGGACAGAGACUUAUAGAAAAUAUGAGCAUAGAAAAGGAUAAAACGAAGACGGCCAGGUAAUUACUCGCUGUGCAUUCCAAAAUGAUCAAAUAAUUAGUUGCCUCCUUGGUCACUAAACAUUAUUAUUUAUUUAUUUAUGUAUCCAUGGGACCAAUCUAGAUCCUGUUGUCCCCACACCCUAAGCAAUAGGUUUUCAAUUAAUUAAUCCUAAUUUUCCUUAGAUUUUAGACCUUGGACGAGGAACUUAAGACUUUGGAACCACCGAUGGAUUUUGCUGGGAAAUGGCCAAACAAAAACGAAAUUGCCAAGAUAAAAGGAAUCCCAUUACUACCUUAAUUAUUUGUUUUCUGCUUACCAUGGACUCUCACAAACCACUAAUUAACUUUUAAGUAAACAUGUGUUUAGUUAAUUGUUUUCAAACUUAUUUGGAAAAUCUAAUAUAUUCGAUCUAAAGCUACCAAAGUACGCAACUAAAAGUAAAGUUGCAAAAAGUUAAAACAUUGUAAUUAUUAUUAUUAUUAUUAUGUGUGAAAUGAUGAAGCGACAUGCAUGAUGAACAGCUCUCUCUUUUAAAGUUUUUAUUAUACUUCCCACUAAUUAAAAGGUGGAUGAUAAAUAGAUCAUGCACUUGCUCACCGCAAUGAAGAAUAUCAUAAUUUGGCCAAAUAUUACUACCAACUAGCUAUUAAACCACCAAGCUGAUCAACCCCUUCUUAAGGGAAUGUAUGCAUUGGAUUAAUUCAUUACUCUUUGCAUAAGCUUUUAGGCUUCUAAAUUGACAUUAAUAUAGUCACUCUGAUUAUUGUUUUGCAUAAUCCAGAGUAUAGGAUUAAGAUAAAAUUAAAAAAAAAUUGAGCCAACUAUAUAUUCUUUAGUGUAGCGGCUGCGCCUUAAGAUAAAACUUGAAGAGGGGAUUAAACAAUAUUCACUGCAGUCAAUAGAAUAAACCAUUGUCAUGAAUAUAAAAAAAAUAUUAAAUUAUUAAUGUCAUAAUCUAGCUAGUUCAGUUAUACGUCUACAAAAUCUUUUUGUUUGAAUGGAUUCAUUAGCUAAAGCACCCAUGGGCAGACCCCAUUUUCUACUGAGCUAGCUACACUGGUUCAUGAACCUUGUCCACAAGAGUUCAAACAGAUUUUCCCUGGCCAGUCCCAUGGCCGACAACAAGUUGGCAUUGGCUUUGGUGACUAUCGCUCAUUUCGCUACUUUCUCUCCUAUUAAAUUCUUCCCACUCAUUUAAACAAAAAGAUUAAUCUCGAUUAAUUUGUCUCCUUCUUUUGGUCUUUGGUAACGGUAAUAAUUAUAUUUAACAUAUAAGCAUCGCAUUUUCUCUAUUUUUAAUUUGUGGGACAGCAAUGCAAUGAAGUCACCACUCACCAUCCCCCAUGGAUUAGGAAAGCUCGUAUCUCUCUAAUUAACAUAUAAAAUACGAGAUUAAUUGAAAAAGGGAUUGAGUUGAUCGCUUUGAUAGAUCCACCUUUAAAUAUUUAAACAUAAGUUGAUCUUAAACUAAUAUAAAAUUAUGCAAUUUUUAGUUAAACGAAUUAGUCAAAUAAUCAUCGUAGAUUAUCGUGGAAUAAUUUAUUUUGUUCCCGAAAAUGAUUGCAUUAAGACCCGAUAGCUACCACAUGCCUGACCCAUGGCGGCUCCGGGAUGUGUAGAAAGUCACUGUAUGAUUGCAAUCUAGAAAGCCAGCAUUGACUGGCCUCUCGUUAGUGCUUGGAUAAUAAAAAAAAAAGAGAUCAAAUUAUACAUGUCUGAGUUUAGAUACGGUGGCGGCACCAUUUUCUUCUUCACCCUGUGACCACACUCUUUAAAGAGUAAAUUAACUCUUCACUAUAUCUGCAUUUAUUUGUUAAUACAUGUAUUUAUACAAGAGUUGAAUUGAGAUACAAGAGUUGGCUGAGCAUUUUUAAAGGGAUUGGCUAACCUAUCGGCUAAAAGAAUUGGAGAAGAUAUGUACAUAUCAAUUUGAGAAGAUAAAGGAGAGAAUUAAGGAGAUAUGGGAAAGGAUAAAGAAGGAGAGGAUUAAGGAUAAAGGAAAUUGCAAUUGUUAUCUUCAUUACUCCCCCUCAAGUUGGAGUGUGAAGAGUUGAAGUACCCAACUUGCUAAGUAACUCAUGAAAAUGGUCACGCCCAAGUGCCUUAGUAAAAAUAUCUGCUAGCUGAAAUUUUGAAGUGAUAAGUUGAGGAAUCAAAGUUUGAGAUUGAAUAUGCUGGCGAACAAAAUGACAAUCAAUUUCUAUGUGUUUCGUACGUUCAUGAAAAACUGGAUUUGCAGCUAUGUGGAUGGCAGCUUGAUUAUCACAAAAAAGUGGAACUAGAUUAGAACAAGGCACUUGUAGGUCUCGUAGUAAUUGUAUUAACCAAAUGAUUUCAUUAGAAAUAGUGGCCAUUGCUCUAUACUCUGCUUCUGUAGAUGAGCGUGAAACAACUGUCUGUUUCUUGGAUCGCCAUGAGAUUGGUGAUGACCCAAGAAAUAUAAUGUAGUCAGUAGUAGAUCGACGGGUGGUAGGGCAUCUUGCCCAAUCUGCGUCACAAUAUGCCCGAAGAGACAAUGAAUUAUUGGAAGGUAACAAGAGUCCUUGACCUGGAGCAUUCUUGAGAUAUCGAAGCACACAAAAAACUGCAUUUAAGUGUAGUUGCCGAGGAUUAUGCAUAAAUUGACUAAAUAAGUGCACAACAUAACUAAUAUCUGGCCUUGUGAUAGUGAGAUAAAGCAGGCGUCCAACAAGUCGUCGAUAAAGCUCAGGGUUAGAACAAAGAGGCUCAGUGUUAGAUGCAAGCUUGUGUUGUUGGUCUAUUGGAAAGGAUGAAGGCUUGCUGCCCAUUAAAUCACAUUUGGACAAAAUAUCCAAUACGUACUUGUGCUGGCUUAAAACUAUGCCAGAAGGAGAACGAGCAACUUCUAUGCCAAGAAAAUAUUUCAAUUUUCCAAGAUCUUUGAUGCGAAACUUCUUGUCCAAAUAACGCUUUAGUUUGACAAUACGGUCUAAAUCGUUCCCUGUGAUUAUCACAUCAUCUACAUAUAUCAGAACAACAAUGAAAGCUGGCCCUCGAUGAAACAAGAAAAGCGAAUGAUCUGCACCAGAUUGACAAAAACCAAUGGCUAACAAGGCUGUAGUGAAUUUUUAAUACCAAUUUCUCGAGGCUUGUUUAAGUCCAUAUAAAGAUUUCUGCAACUUACAAACACGUUGCUCCCUCUUUCGAGUGAAUCCUUGUGGAACCUUCAUAUAAACUUCCUCGUUUAGGUCUCCAUGGAGAAAUGCAUUGUUGACAUCCAGUUGAUGUAAUUCCCAAUUCUGUACUGAAGCUACCGCAAGCAAGCAUCUGACAGUCACUAGUUUAGCCACCGGUGCGAAAGUUUCAUGAAAGUCUACCCCUUCUAUCUGAGUAUAACCUUUAGCAACUAGACGAGCCUUAUAUCGUUCCACACUUCCAUCUGGGUUGUACUUAAUUUUGUACACCCAUUUAGAAUUGAUUGCUGGCUUCCCAAGUGGUAACUUACUCAAAACCCAUGUUUUAUUUUCUUCUAAGGUUGAGAUUUCUUUUGCCAUAGCAUCCCGCCAAUGAGUAUGUUUUAUUGCCUAAUGAAAAUUAGUUGGCUCAUCGGUUGAAAGGAUGGCCGCCAAAAAAGCAUUGUGAUCACGUAAAAAUUAAGAAUAAAAGAUGAAUUGUGAAAGAGGAUAUACCGUAGAGUUGGCCUUGGGUGUGGGAGUGUACGUUGAAAAGGACGAUGUGAGAGAGGGAGGCAAGGCAAAAUCAUAAUCUGUUAGUUUUCUAGGAAUCUGACGAGCUCUUUUUCUUGUCAUUACUGAAGUAUCUACUAUAACAGUAGUACCAGGAGCAGUACUUGGUUGCUCUAUUUGCUGCCUAAGUGACCCAUUUGCAUCAAUGGUACACUCUUCAUUGCUUAAUGAAUGAUGUUGUCCAAUCUCGUCUAACGUGCCUGUAUCAUUUAAUUCGCCAGAUCUAGCUGUAUCAUAUGACUCGCAUGGCUCAGUUUCAAGAUGGCCCCCACUGUCUCCGUGUGACUCGAUCAUACUCGAUCCUUGCGCUAAUUUAUCAAAUGGGUUCAGAUAAGAACACAUGAAUGAUUCAUCAGAAGUGUGAACUUGGAUAUUAGGAUUUGUUGAAGUCCAAGAUGCCAGUAUGUGUGUUGUUGGAGACCCAUCAAUUUCAUUGCUUCCUUUGGUCAAUGCACUAGGGAAAAUAUUCUUAAAAAAUUGCACAUCACGUGAAGUAUAGAUUUUCUUAUCUUCAAUAUCGAAUAUUCGAUACCCUUUUUGUCCAUGGGGAUAACCCAAGAAAAUACCUGGUUUGGAGCAAGGUGCAAAUUUAUCACGUGACUUGUUGGUGAUGAGUCCAUAACACAAGCAUCCAAAAGUUCUGAGAUGUUGGUAGGUUGGUGAUCUUCCAAACAAGAUUUCGUAUGGGGUUUUGUUCUUCAAAACUGAUAGUGGCAUUCUGUUGAUUAAGUAUGCAGCUGUUAGGACACAUUCACCCCAAAAUUUUAUGGGUAGAUAUGCUUGGAAGCGUAGCACUCGUGCAACUUUUAACAAGUGUCUGUGCUUUCUUUCUACUCUCCCAUUUUGUUGUGGUGUGUUUGUGCAGCUUGUUUUGGCGCUCAAUUCCAUUCUCAUUGUAGUAGGUAAGUAAAUCACUGUGUUUGAAUUCCAUCCUAUUGUCGGAACGCACAAUUUUCACCUGUGUAUUAAAUUGAGUUCGUAGCCAUUGGUAAAAAUGCAGUAAGUAAUCACGUGUUUUUGACUUAUGCUUCAUCAAAUAUACCCAGGUGGCCCGACUGUAAUCAUUAACAAUGGUUAGAAAGUAAACAGCCCCAAAUAAUGAUGGAGUUUUAUAAUCUCCCCAAAUGUCACAAUGAAUAAGUUCAAAAAUUCGACUAGAUUCAUAAGUACUGGCAAAAAAUGGCAAACGAUGUUGUCGUGCUCUGCAACAAGCAUCACAAAAUUUAUUUUCCUUAACAUUAAUAGAUAAAUCCCCAAUAAAAGAUAAGCGAUUCAUUGGCAAAUGCCCCAGUCUCCGAUGCCACAUAUCUGCAUGCCUCAUAUUACUUGCCAUUAGUGCCUUGCCCUCUCUUAUUGGUUCCAAGUAGUAGAGUCCAUCACGCACCCUACCCACUCCAAUCGGCCUCCUCGAAGAUAAGUCCUGUAUAACACAAAAUGUAGGUUAGAACGUGAGCACACAAUUCAAAUCCUUGGUUAAUUUGCUAACAGAUAACAAAUUAAAAUUAAAAUUUGGAAUGCCAAAGACUUGAUCCAAGACCAAUUGUUUAUUCAAUUUAACAUGGCCUAAAGCUUGUACGGGGACCAUUUCUUCAUUGGGUAUUUGGAUUGGAGGAAAAUUAGGCUUGUGCUUGACAUUUGUGAAAAGGCCCAAAUCCUUUGUAAUGUGGUCUGUGGCUCCAUUGUCUAUGACCCAUGGAUCAUUGUGUCUCUCUUUCUUACCCGCAUUCUAAUUGGUGGUAUUGGCUACCUAUGAUGUCGAUUGAAGGUUUGGUGUAUUGCCCACACCCAACGCAGCAAGCACUUGAAGAAUUUGCUAUUGUUGUGCCUUUAUUCCCGAAGUUGAGAUCGAGGAAUUGGUGUCUCCAAUUGUGGCUGCAAUAGCCGAACUGUUGUUACUCUGAUCCACGCGUCUUCCUCCUCUGCUUCGACUCCGAUCUGAUGGCCGACGAUUCCAAUUUUCUAGGUAACCAAUAAUUUCAAAACAUUGCUCUUUUGUAUGCUUGGGCUUUCCGCAAUGAGCGCAAUGAGUGCAAUGCACUAGUUAUGUUUUCUCCUCAAAACGCCGAUUCUGGCUUCUCUUGUUAUUUGCAACAGCAUGCCUUGACGUCAUUGCUUGAUCUCUGGUCACCUGUCCUGCCAAAAAUGCAGCACCUUCAACAGUUGGGACUCGAUUUACAGCUACUUGUCUUUGUUUUUCCUCCUGCGCUGCUAUGGAGUAUGUUUUCCUCAAACUAGGCAAUGGGUCAACGCUAAGUAUCUGAGACCUCACGGUGCUGAAGGUGUCAUCUAAUCCCAUGAGAAAAUCAAAUACUUUCUCUUGUUCUUGCAUAUCUUCCAUUUUCUUCGCUGCUCCACACGUGCAACCACAUGUACAUACAGGAAUAGGAUUAAAAGCUUGUAAUUCACCCCAAACAGUUUUAAGCUUACCGUAAUAAGAUGAAAUUGAUGACUUUUCUUGUUGCAAUAGUGCAAUCGCACGUCUCAACUCGUACAUACGUGGAGCCAUUCUUUGUGUGAAUCUUUCCUGCAGAUCUGCCCAAACCUCAUGAGUUGUGUCCGCAUGAGCCGCGCUGCUUUGGAUCUCCUUUGCAAGUGCAUUUAUUAACCAGAAAAGCACAAUAGCAUUGCAUUGGACCCAUGAGUCGUAAUCUUGGGAAUUGACAUCCGGUUUGACUAUGGUCCCAUCUACGAAUCCUGCUUUGUUCUUUGAUCGUAAUGCAUUUAGAAAGCUGCGCCUCCAGGUAAAAUAAUUUUCACCAUUCUCGUUAAGAGGGUGUGUGACAAAAGUUAAGCCAAGAUGAUCUGAUGAAUGCAAAAAGUAUGGGGACUUAGUAUCAAUUGCAAUGUUGUGUGAUGCGUUUGCAGAUGAUACCAAGGUCACAUUAACUUGAUUUGCUUCAUUCUCUGCCAUGACUUAAAAAAAUUUUAUGUACCCUGCUUUGAUACCAUAAAGAGUAAAUUAACUCUUCACUAUAUCUAUAUUUAUUUAUUAAUACAUGUAUUUAUACAAGAGUUGAAUUGAGAUACCAGAGUUGGCUGAGCAUUUCUAAAGGGAUUGGCUAACCUAUCGGCUAAAAGAAUUUGAGAAGAUAUGUACAUAUCAAUUUGAGAAGAUAAAGGAGAGAAUUAAGGAGAUAUGGGAAAGGAUAAAGAAGGAAAGGAUUAAGGAUAAAGGAAAUUGCAAUUGUUAUCUUCAUUACUCUUGUCACGUGACACAAGUACCUAAUAGCUUUUCUUUCUUUUGUUUUUUAUUUUGUUUUUUAUUGUUUUCUUUCGUCUCUCUUCUUCUAACUCUAUUUCUCGUUGGUCAGCGGCAGCCGGCAACGGUAGAGGCCCAGAUUUGCCCCAAGCUCGAUCUCUUUCCCCCGCCGGAUAGGUGACACGGGUUAAUUUGGCUCCAAUCGUCAUCAAGGCAUCAAUAAGGCUAGAUCAGACCCUUUACUGUCAUCUGCUGGCCCCUAGCUGAUGGGACAGAGAGAACAAAGGAGAAAAUGAAAAAAAAAUCACAUAAUUUAAUUUUUAUUCACAUUAAUUAUCAUGCCAACACCUGAUGAAAAUAUUGACAAAAGGACGUUUCUGUUUAACAGUAAAAAUAUGGGAAUGAGUAAUUUACUUUUUAAAUUAUAAAGAUAAAUAUGAUAUGCAAUUCAAAUUUUGAGAACCUAUCUGAAUUACAUUAUUUUUGAGAAUUAUUUUCUUUUCCAAUGUCAUCAAAAUAAUAAUCAAACAAAUCCACAUAUUUAAUAAGGGCAAAAAGUAUAAUAUUCUGGAUGCAUUAUCCUCUUUCCAGAUCCCUCAUUUUAUAAUCCGUCCGCUAACUUGUAAAAUAAUUCUUCCCAACUCUUUGGUACUGUUUGAAAAGAAUUCAAAACAAUAUAUAGUAAAUUAAGAAAAAAAAAUUGCUCCACAGUCAAAUGUACCAUAGGCUCUUAGUCCUUUUGAGCCACUAUGACAUCGGCCCUUAUGUCAUCGGUUUCAACUUUUCCUGUUUUUUUAAGCCUCCCCUCAACUGUACACCUACUGCUUAACCGUUAACACAGAACCGCGACUUCCUCGACACAACACUGACUGGAACUCCGCUGUCAGCCGCAACUUCAGCUAGCUAUUCACUCUCGCCGGUAAAACAUGGCAACUGCAAAAGUUGGGAGGAUCAAGUUGGGUUCUCAAGGCCUGGAAGUGUCAGCUCAAGGCCUGGGCUGCAUGGGGAUGUCAGCUUUCUAUGGUCCUCCAAAGCCUGAAGCAGACAUGAUCGCUCUCAUCCACCACGCUAUCAGCUCUGGGGUUACCCUUCUUGAUACCUCUGAUGUUUAUGGUCCCCACACCAAUGAAAUCCUCAUUGGCAAGGCCUUGAAAGAUGGUUUUAGAGACAAAGUUGAAUUGGCUACUAAGUUUGGUAUUGACUAUACUGAAGGCAAGAGGGAAAUCCGUGGUGACCCUGCUUACGUGAGGGCGGCCUGUGAAGGUAGCUUGAAGCGUCUUGGUGUGGAUUGUAUCGAUCUUUAUUAUCAGCAUCGGAUUGAUACCCGGCUUCCCAUUGAAGUCACGGUUUGUUUUUGUUUUGUUUUCCGUCCCCUGCUUUUUUCUUUGUCAUGAUCUAGUUAAAAUGAGAAUUCUUGAUCUUUUUAUUGAUUGUUGCCCUUUUCUAUUUUCCCAGAUGGGAGAACUCAAGAAGCUAGUUGAAGAAGGUAAAAUAAAGUACAUAGGUUUAUCUGAGGCUUCUGCUUCGACCAUUAGGAGGGCACAUGCUGUUCACCCAAUAACUGCUGUGCAGUUGGAGUGGUCUUUGUGGUCUAGAGAUGUUGAGGCCGACAUCAUUCCUACUUGCAGGUUACUUAUCCAUAAGACUAACAAUUUAUUUUUUUUUACAAAAAAAUUAGUGAUUCAGAAAUCUUAUUCUAGCGUGAUUCCUUUUAAUUUCUUAGAGAACUUGAAAUUGGGAUUGUUGCUUACAGUCCUCUGGGGAGAGGAUUCCUUUCAUCAGGGCCUAAAAUUGUGGAAACUUUGUCCAAUGAUGACUUCAGAAAGGUUUGUAGCUAUUUUUCACAAUUGUAUUAUUUUUCAUAAGAAAUACUAAUCAUCUGUUUCUUUUAGGCAUAUCAAAUGUUAUGGUAUGAUAGAUUUUCUUAAUCAUGAAAUGUGAUCAAUACUUGGAUAAGAAGGUUUAGUAGUUUACAGAAAUGACAAGAAUUUUUUUCUUUUUAUCUGACGGCUAAAUAUUUUUAAUGCUCAAGUUGUACUGAAACAUUUCCUCUUUGUUAGCCUAAUCCGUAUGAGGACCUCCCGAUUUAGUCUACAAGUGCUUCAAUGCUAGCAAUCUUUUUCUUUCUAAGUUGGUGGGACUUACAUGUGAAUUGGGUUUAUUUACAUGUUGGUGUGUAUAUUCUCCAACUGUGGACUUGGGUAAAGGUAGACUAGUUAAGAAUCGAAAUUUGAGUAUGUUCAUAACCUGUUCCCCUUCUCUUUCAAGAAAACUUAUUUUCAAAAUGCAAAAACAUGUUGGGUAGUAAUCUUCUUUAGCUUCUUCAUAAUAACAGAGGGCUAACUAUACCUUUGUGUCCUAGUUUGCCUCUAAUAGGCCCUUUCCCUUGAGUUAUGCAAGUGUGUUCUGUGAUCCAUUGAUUAAAUGUUUUGAAUCAACUUAUCUGCAUUAUUGACAGAAAAUGAUGGUCCGUGGCUGAUUAUCCUUAUCUUUUAUGACACAAUUAUUUAAAAUGAAUAUUCAAUUGUGACAGUCACUGCCAAGGUUCCAACCUGAAAAUCUGGAGCAUAACCAACGCCUGUAUGAGCGAGUGAAUGAGAUAGCAGCGAAGAAGGGGUGCACCCCAUCACAGCUUGCAUUGGCUUGGGUCCAUCACCAAGGGAAUGAUGUCUGUCCCAUUCCUGGAACCACCAAAAUUGAAAACUUCAAUCAGAACGUUGGAGCUUUGUCCGUAAAAUUAACAGCAGAAGAGAUGGCUGAGCUAGAAUCCAUUGCUUCAGUAGAUACCGUGAAGGGAGACAGAUACGGUGGCGUUCUCGUUACCUACCAUGACUCUGAGACUCCCCCCUUGUCUUCAUGGAAACCUGAAUGAGGCUUAGACUACCAUAUUGAUACAAUCUUCAUGAUGAGGUAACACUUUGCAUUGUGUUUUAAAAUCACGAGUCUCUCUACUUUGUAUUCCGAGAAUACAUAUUCUGUCAGAAGUACAACGGGUCUUGUAGUGAUACAUUGUAGCUAUCUAAAUGUGUCAUGUUCAGAUUGUCUGUUCCAAGGUAAUUAAGCAAAAGUUUGUCAGUAAAUAAGGUGUUAUAUCAGAAGUAUCCUUGGUCUUCUGAUGAUUGCUGGCAAACUUGAUUGUAUGUUCCUGACUUGAUCAUGUUAAGAAAAAGAAAGUGUUUCUGUCUUUCUGAAAUGUUUUGAUCUCAACUAUGCUUCCUUCUCUUUUAUAAUACGAGGAAUCUCUCCCCCCAACAAAUUAAUAUUUGGUUUCAUUGGACAAAAACUUAAAGAAAAUAUGAGCAUAGAAAAGGAUGAAACGAAGACGUCUAGGUAAUUGCUCACUGUGCAUUCCAAAAUGAUCAAAUAAUUAGUUGCUUCCUUUGUCACUAAACAUUAUUAUUUAUUUUAUUUAUUUAUGUAUGGUUUUACCUGCACCAAUAGCCCAUUUACUUUGUGGGUGACCCAUCCAUGGGACCAAUCUAGAUCCCGUCGUCCCCACACCAUAAGCAAUAGGUUUUCAAUUAAUUAAUCCUAAUUUUCCUUAGAUUUUAGACGACCUUUGAUGAGUAACUUAAGGCUUUGGAACCACCGAUGGAUUUUGCUGGGAAAUGGACAAACAAAAACGAAAUUAACAAGAUAAAAGGAAUCCCAUUACCACCUUAAUUAUUUGUUUUCUGCUUAAUAUGGAGUCUCGCAAACCACUAAUUUACUUUUAAGUAAAUAUGUGUUUAGUUAAUUGUUUUCAAACUUAUUGGGAAAAUCUAAUAUAUUCGAUCUAAAGCUACUAAAGUACAUAACUAAAAGCAAAGCUCCAAAAAGUUAAAACAUUGUAAUUAUUAUUAUUGUUAUUUUUAUUAUUUUUAUGUGUGAAAUGAUGAAGCAACAUGCAUGAUGAGCAGCUCUCUCUUUUUUAGUUUUUGUUAUACUUCCCACUAAUUGAAGGUGGAUGAUCACUAGAUUCAUGUACUUGCUCACCGCAAUGAAGAAUAUAAUAAUUUGGCCAAAUAUUACUACCAACUAGCUAUUAAACCACCAAGCGGAUCAACCCCUUCUUAAGGGAAUGUAUGCAUUGGAUUAAUUCAUUACUCUUUGCAUAAGCUUUUAGGCUUAUGAAUUGCAUUAAUAUACUCACCCUGAUUAUCGUUUUGCAUAAUCCAGAGUAUAGGAUUAAGAUAAAGUAAAAAAAAAAUGAGCCAACUAUGUAUUCUUUACUGUAGCAGCUGCGCUUUAAGAUAAAACUUGAAGAGGGGAUUAAACAAUAUUUACUGUAGUCAAUAGAAUAAACCAUUGUGAUGAAUAUCAAAAAAUUAUUAAAUUAUUAAUGUCAUAAUCUAUCUAGUUCAGUUAUACGUGUGCAAAAUCUUUUUGUUUGAAUGGAUUCAUUAGCUAAAGCACCCAUGGGCAGACCCCAUUUUCUACUGAGCUAGCUACACUGGUUCAUGAACCCUGUCCACAAGAGUUCAAAAAGAGUUUCCCUGGCCGACAAGAAGUUGGCAUUUGCUUUGGUGACUAUCACUCAUUUCGCUUCUUUCUCACCUAUUAAAUUCUUCCCACUCAUUUAAACAAAUAGAUUAAUCUCGAUUAAUUUGUCUCCUUCUUUUGGUCUUUGGUAACGGUAAUAAUUAGAUUUAAUCUACAAGCAUCGCAUUUUCUCUAUUUUUAAUUUGUGGGACAGCAAUGCAAUGAAGUCACCACUCACCAUCCCCCAUGGAUUAGGAAAGCUGGUAUCUCUAUAAUUAAUAUAUAAAAUACGAGAUUAAUUGAAAAAGGGAUUGAGUUGAUCGCUUUGAUGGAUCCACCUUUAAAUAUUUAAACAUAAGUUGAUCUUAAACUAAUAAAAAAUUAUGCAAUUUUUAGUUGAACGACUUAGUCAAAUAAUCAUCGUAGAUUAUCGUGGAAUACUUUAUUUUGUACCCGAAAGUGAUUGCAUUAAGACCCGAUAGCUACCACCCAUGGCGACUCCGGGAUGUGUAGAAAGUCACUGUACGAUUGCAAUCUAGAACGCCAGCAUUGACUGGCCUCUCAUUAGUGCUUGGAUAAUAAAAAAAAAAGAGGUCAAGUUGUACAUGUCUGAGUUUAGACACGGUGGCGGCACCAUUUUCUUCUUCACCCUGGGACCACACUCUUGUCACGUGACACAAGUACCUAAUUGCUCAGCCAAAGCAGUUUUUUUUUUUAUAUAUAUAUUUUUUUAAUUUCAUAAGUCAUAUUACAUUGAAAAAGGGUGCAAUAAAAAAUAUUUGUUUUAAAUUAUAAUUUUAUAAAAUAUAUCUAUAAAAAAGUAGAGUUUUUCUUUCUUUUGUUUUUUAUUUUUUUUACUGUUUUCUUUCGUCUCUCUUUUUCUCCCUCUCUUUCUCGUUGGUCAGCGGCAGCCGGCAACGGUAGAGGCCCAGAUUUGCCCCAAGCUCGAUCUCUUUCCCCCGUCGAAUAGGUAACAUGGGUUAAUUUGGCUCCAAUCGUCAUCAAGGCAUCAAUAAGGCUAGAGCAGACCCUUUACUGUCAUCGGCUGGCCCCUAGCUGAAGGGAGAGAGAGAACAAAGGAGAGAAUGAAAAAGAAAAAUCACAUAAUUUAAUUUUUAUCCACAUUAAUUAUCAUGCCAACACUUGAUGAAAAUAUUGACAAAAGGACGUUCCUGUUUAACAGUAAAAAUAUGGGAAUUAGUAGUAAUUUACUUUUUAAAUUAUAAAGAUAAAAAUUAUAUGCAAUUCAAAUUUUGAGAACCUAUCUGAAUUACAUUAUUUUGGGAGGUUUUGUGGAUGAUACCGCCUUAUCUAAUUUACAAUAUUGUUUAGAGUCAUUUGUACCUGCGCUUUAAGGAAGUUCAUUUGUUCAAUCUAUUUGGGUAUAGUUAUUGGUAGUAUGAUUCUAGAUUAGUCCAAAAAAUCACUUUGUUCUUGUAUAGUUUUUUUCUCUAAUUAUUAUUUAGGUCCAUAGUUCUCCCACAUCUCUCAGUGAUUAAUCUCAUUUUUAGGUAGUGGUGGUAUUAGUAUUUUGGGUAGGUACAAUUGGGACAAAUCAUGUAUAUAAAUCUAAAGAAAUGGUCAGAUAUGUGUGGUAGCUUCUAUAAACCAUCAAAGUUUUUGGAAGGAAGCCAUGAAGGGCAUCUCAAUUAGUGCAACUGCAACAUAAUUUCCAUUAUCAAGGUUAAGGCUCUAGGCAAAUAAAGGAAUUAUCAAGGUGUUUUAGGGGAAUGGAGAUGAAUCUACUAUCCUCGUUAUCAGUGACAGAAUUAGGAUUCGUGUUUGAGGGGUAAAGACAAUGUCCAUAAAAUAGUCACACCCAUAGUUUAGUGUUUAACAAAAACAUAAAAUAAUUUAGAUGGAAAAAAUUCAUAUAAAAAUUAUAUAAAUAACUCCAAUUACAUGUUAAGUACAAAAUAAAGAUAUUUUUUUAUAACUAUUGCAUGUUAAAAUUGGAUAUUUUUAAUUGAGCUUGACAAUAUUUUCAUAGAGUUGAAGGCAUUAUUGAAUUAAUAUCAAAAUCUUGAAUUAUUCGAAUUUUUAAUAAAAUCAUUUAAAAUUUUAUUACGAGUCUCGUUCUUAACAAGUUUUAUAAUUAAUAUUAUACACUUUGAUGUUAUAUUGAAAACUAGAAGAGUCUACAUCAAUCUGUCAAUAAGAAAUUAAACUUUUGAUAUUCUCGUAUUCUUUAACAUUUGACACAAUUCAAAAAGUAUAAAUACAUUUUUCAAAGCUUGAUUAUGAAGAAUGUCAAACUUGAAUAGAUCCAAUUGAUAGCUCAAACACAUAUUAUCAUAUUCAGUAAAGUUACCAAGAUAAUAUUUAAUUACAAAGUUACAAAUACUUUCAACAUCAAACAAUUUGAAAUCAUUAUAAGAGUCCAAGGAUAUGUCAAGAGUGAGCAACUCCACCAUAUUCUUAUAAAUCUAAAAUCUAAUUCUUACAAGAGUGAGUUAAUAGCAGAAAAAAACAACUCAACUCAAUAAUGGUGUUCAAUUGUGCUAUGAUCCUUUUAAAGACGGCUUUUACCUUUAUAUCUAACUCCAUGUCAAAAAUCUUAAUUUCGUAUUCUCACAAAACUUCUUUACUGACACAAACAAAGGUUUCAUUCAUUUCUCCCAAUUGUUAGAGACGUUUUUUAAUAACAAUACUAAACGAAUUACAUUUAAUAUGUCUUGAGAUUUGAGUUGUAAAGCUUUUGAAAAGUCAUUUGUUAUCUCCAAUAACUUUAUCAUAAGAUGCAAGAUAAAUAUAAAUUUAAAUGACAUAAUGAUAUGUUAUAAAAAUUAUAAAAUAAAAGAAAAAAAUAUAAAAUUAUUAUAGAAAUAAAAUUCUAAAAUUCUAAAAAACUAAAAAUAGGUUAUAAAAGUAUUAUAAAGAUAAAAUUUUAAAAUUUUAAAAAAUAAGAGUUGCUAUAAAACCACCCUCCCCUACACCUCUAUUUACGGAGGUGGUGAGGGUCGGAAGUAAAAGCAGUGGGCGUUGUGGGAAGACUUGGCGUGCACCUUGGGACAAGCGUUGUAAGUGUGGGUACAAGACUGCAUCUACCAAGCGCAGAAAGUAGUGCUUGAUCCAUUUGGCAUUUAGUCUCUUUUAUGCAAUUUGAACAAUUUAAUGUUGAUAUUAGACAUAUAAGUUCCACAAUUAAUUAGUUAAUGUUUUAAUUUUCUAAUGACAUGUCAUAAGUUUUAUAUCUAUUUGAUCUUUCUAUUUACUAUUCAUCGAUCUUUUCCGAUGGAAUUGGGUGUCUGAUUAAAUUUGUACAAGGACUUUGCUUCCAUUGGCAUCUAAUAUCUCAAGACUCAGCUGGGUGCUCAUCCUUCUACCAGAAUUAUCAUUAAAAUCAAAAUCACAAAAACAAUUUGAUGCAACCUCACCACUCAUUUAUAGGCAGCUUAUUGGGUACUUAAGUAUCUUAAAAAGGCACCGGGAUAAAGUAUUUUACUAGCUUCUGAUUCUGAUGUUCAACUAAAGGUUUUUAUUGAUAAUGAUUGGGCUAGAUGCUUAGAUUCCAGACGUUCUGUUACUGGUUUUGGAGUUUUUCUUAGUAAAUCUCUCUUUAAUUGGAAAUUUAAAAAGCAAUCAGUUGUUGCUUGUAGUUCAAUAGAGGCUGAAUAUCGUGCUAUGGCUGCUGCUUGUUGUGAAGCUAUAUGGCUUUUGUCUCUACUCAAAUAUUUUGGUUUUUCUCAUAUUGCUUUAGUUCAUUAUUUUUUGAUAACCAGUUUGCUAUUCACAUUUGUAAAAAUCCUAUAUUUCAUGAGAGGACUAAGCAUACUGAACUGCACUGUCAUUUUAUUCGAGAUAAAGUUCUUGAAGGAGUUAUUUGUCCUUAGCAUGUUUUUACUAAGGAUCAAUUGGCAGACAUUUUUACUAAGGAUCAAUUGGUAGACAUUUUUACUAAGGCGCUACCACUUGCACAAUUCACCUAUCUGUUAGGCAAGAUGAGCAUAGAUAAUAUCCAUGCUUCUCUUGAGGGGGGGUGUUAGAUAUUAUAUUUUGACAUGUGCAAUGGUAUAUUUGUAAAUAUUCUAACUGUUUAAGGUUAUUAUUAUAUUUUUGAUUUUACAUGAAGACUUGACUAUAAAAAAUCUGUUGUACUGACAAUGUGAAGUUGAAAAAAAAGACAAUACAAUUAGAGCUUUAUCCAUCUCUUAACUUUUUCUAGAUUUUUUUUCAGAUUCUUCGUCUCUUUCUCAAUAAUCGACAAAACUUUCUCUAGAUUUUUUUCAGAUUCUUCGUCUCUUCCUCAAUAAUCAACAGGAUUGAGGGGACGAAUUUGGUUUGGUGGAGCAACUAAGCUUGGCGGUGGUGGGUAGGUGCUUAAUCCAAGUGUUGCCAAAUGUUUUGCCUGAUUACCCGAGGCUUUGAAGUUAACGAACAAAUAGGUGGAAAAAUCCUUUAGGUAGAAAUAUGUAAAGAAAAGCAGAGUCUUAUCCACCAUUCUAAACAAACAAAACGAUUGCUCCAAAACACAACACAACAAUUUAAUUAAGUUUGUAAAAUUAAAGUGACAAUCCAAAGCCACUGGAGUUUAAUACUUCAUCUGGCAUCUAGAUGGUUUCUCUUGUAACCAAAAAAAAAAUGCAGAAUCGGCUCAUCCAAUAAGAAGGAGAGAGUUUGAAAGUUGAAGGUGAUUUUUUUUUUAAUAUUUUUGACUUUUUAAUUUUUUGGAUAUUUUAAUAAUUUUAUAAAAUUCAUUAGUGAUGUUUAAAAUUUUGAAACUAAGUGUAUUUUUAAUACUAUUAGAUUUAAAGUGAAUUAUGAUAAAAAGUUAGGUAAUGAGAUAGGAUUGUCCUUUGAAAAAAACACCUAGGGAACAUUUUGUCUCCAUUUAAAAUCAUUACUAAAAGAAAUUUUGAAAGGGACAAAAAGAGCAUCACAAUUUACAUCACUCAAGUGGAACACUUUACCUUAAUGUGAUGAAAUUUAUGAAGUGAUGUGGCAAUCUUUGGAAGGACUUUCAACCAAUUUUACUCGAAAGUUGGUGGUAGACCUUGAAUCUGAAUCGGAUUAGAAAGCUUUCAAGAUAUAUAGAGGGGGCUGUCUCUCGACCAAUCUUCAGAUAAACAGUGAUGGAAAGCACGCCCCCUCCCGCUUUAGCUCCAGUCAUCUCUAGCAGACCGAAACUACUUGCAUGGAUGGCCUUUUUUUUUUUUUUUUUCCACAUUUCUUGGAUGAGGAAAAUUAUGACUUAAUUCAUAAAUUUCACAACGUGAAUUCCAAAUUAAUUAGUUCCAUUUGCAGAAAAGAAUGCCUUGCUGCUGAUUGUCUUUUUGUUUGACGAAACAAUCGUUGGAAUUAAUUUUCAUUUGUCACAGUAACUACCCAAAGUUCCAACCUGAAAAUCUCAAGCAUAACAAACGCCUCUAUGAGCAAGUUAGUAAGAGAGCAGCAAGAAAGGAAUGCCAACCCAUCGCAGCUUGUAUUGGCCUGUGUCCAUCACCAAGGGAAUGAUGUCCGUCCCAUUCCUAGAACCACAGAAAUUGAAAACUUUAAUCGGAAUAUUGCAGCUUUGGCCUUACAAUUUAUACGUGAAGAGAUAGAGCUAGAAUCCAUUGCUUCAACAGAUGCCGCGAAGGGAGGCAGAUAUAUUAGAACCACUGCUACCUACCGCAAAUCUGAAACUCCUCCCUUGUCUUUACGGAAACCUGCGUGAGGAUUGACGGCCUUCCAUUCACCACAUUGAUACAAUUUUCACAAUGAGCAGCAUCAUGUGCUUUAAAGUUUUGAUGAGUACUCUGCUUUAUAUUCAGAAAAUAAAGUGUUAUAUUUACAAGUACCCUAGGUCUUGUAGUGAUAGAUCGCAAACUUGAUUGUAGGUAUCUACGUUUGUCAUGUUGACGUCGUCCGCUCCAAGGUCAGUAAGCAAAAGUUUAUGAGACACGUGGAAAUGGGGGUUGCAUACAUGAUUUUACUUUUAAACAAAAUAAUUAUAGUCAAAAGAUCUAUCAAGUCUUUAUAUUUUUUAAUUUUAUUUAAUUUAAUCUUUAUACUCAAAAUCGAAAUAAUUUAAUCUAUUGAUUUUGAGAAUUGUGUUAAUUUAAUUUGUUUUCCUAACAGCUUCCAAUUUUACCGUUAAAAGAUGACAUCAGCACCAACGUGUCACAUAUUGAUAACGUGGCAUUGAGAUGAUGACAUGGCAUGAUGAUGUGUUAGAUUAAAAAAAUUUUUUACCAUUUCAUAAGGACUCAAUUGAACAAAAAUAUAUAAUAUAAGGAUUAAAUUAAAUAAAAUUGAGAUAUUGAAGGACUAAAUUAAAAGAAUAUUUAAAUAGAUUAUUGAUAUGCUUGUUAAUAAGCUAAAUAUUUAAGUGUAAAAGAUUAUGGUGUUAAUAUAUAUAUAUAUAUAUAUAUAUAUUUACUUGAUUAUUUGAUUCUAAAAUAUGUAAAUUAAUUUAUUUUUUUUACAAAAAUUAAGUUUGAAUUCUCCUUCUAAAAAAANUUAAGUUAAAAUAAAUAAUAUAAAAUGACUAAAUAUGUUGAUUUAGUUACAACUUUCAUAAUUUACAAAUACACAUUUUUUUUAAAAUUAUUCAACUUUUACCCAAUUUACCUUUUAUUUAAAUUUACUCAAAUUAGCAAAAUAUGUUAAUUUAGUUACUACUUUCACAAUUUACAAAUACACAUUAUUCAACUCUUACCCAAUUUACCUUUUAUUUAAAUUUUCUCAAAAUUUUUUAUAAAACGAUUUUAUUUAAAUUCAAAUACCAUAAUCAAAUUCUGUUAAAUUUAAAUUUAUAUUAUUAAUUUAGAUCUACAAAAAAUUUAUUAAUAAAAUAAAAUUAUACAAAUAUUUACAGUUAUAUUAACUUUAUCAAUUAUAAAUGCAGUCUUUAAUAUAUGAAAUUUUAACUUAAAAAAUAUAACUUGAAAUAUUUACAAAAUAAAAACAUAAUAAAUGAAUAAAUAAAUAAUUGAACAGAUAGAACUUAGAUUCUAUGGUUGUAAUAAGAGGUUUGUCAUGUCCAAAUUAAGCAAAUCAGAAUGAGAAAUUAUUUUUAUCAUCAUUGUUAAUUUCAUAUCUGCGUUCUUCAUUUUUUUAAAAGAAAAAACUAAAUCAACAUAUUUUGCUAAUUUGACUUUAGCUCAAGCUAAAAACUAAGUUAAAUAAAAUUCAAAUUUUUAUGCUAUUACAAAUAGAAGAAAAAAGAAUUUAUUUAGUCAUUUUAUAUUAUUUUAUUUUAACGUAGUACAAGUUAUUUAUCUAAAUUUGACUUCAAGUAUAAAAUUUUUUCAAAUUUUUUUUAUGGAAGGAGAAUUCAAACUUAAUUUUUGUAAAAAAGAUAAAUAAAUUUAUAUAUUUGAGAAUCAAAUAAUCAAGUAAGAAAAUAUUUAUAUAUUUUUUUAAUACCAUAAAUCUUUUACACUUAAAUAUUUGGCUUAUUAAUAAAUAUAUCAAUAAUCUACUUAAAGAUUUAUAUUUAUUAAUUUAGUCCAUCCACAUCUCAAUUUUAUUCAAUUUAGUCCUUAUGCUAUAUAUUUUUAUUCAAUUUAAUCUCUAUGACUUAGUAAAAUUUUUUAAAAAAUUUUUUUAAUCUACCACGUGAUAUUAACAUGUCAACAUAUCAGUACCACGUCAACACUACCACGUCAUAAUAUAAUACCACGUGACAUGCGACGUCAUUAUUUUAACGUCAUGUCAUCAAAAUGUGACACAUUAACGCUGACAUCAGUAAUUAUGUCAGCACUGAUAUCAUCAUUUAACGGUAAAAUUAGAUGUUAUUAGAAAAAUAGACUAAAUUGAUGUAAUUUUCAAAAUUAAAAUCCUAAAUUAUUUCGAUUUUGAGUAUAAAGAUUAAAUUGAAUAAAAUUAAAAAAUUACAAACGUUGAAUAAAUCUUUUAACCAAAUAAUUAUAUCAAAAUGGAUAUUAUAUUUUAAUUAUUUGUUUAUUUUUAAUCAUUUUUUUAAAUGCAUUAUUGAUUAUUAUUUUCUUUUUUAAAACGCAAAAUUAUAUCCACCCAUCACCCACUUGAUGCCAUUGUAAGUCUUUAGCCUUGUCAGCCCAAGAUUUUGAUGGCAUAGAAACUGGUGUGAGAAAGGAACUAUACAAUUACAAAAAAAUCUCUGCACAAAAGGCGACACACCACAAGGACCACUUGAAACGAAUGUAUGAACAAAACUAUUGAUCAUUAUUGAUCUGCCUUUUAUCAUUUCCUUUUCCAUUGUCAUAAAAACAAUAACCAAACAAAUCCAUAUUCUUAAUCAGGGAGCAAAGUAUACUGUUGUGGAUUCCUUGCCCUUUCCGCUGACUACUUCAACAGAUAACACUGAACCGCGACUUCCUCGACACAACACUGACCGCUGUCUGCAGCAACUUUAGCUAGCUAUUCACUCUCACCAGUAAAACAUGGCAACUGCAAGAGUUGGGAGGAUCAAGUUGGGAUCUCAAGGCCUGGAAGUGUCAGCUCAAGGCCUGGGCUGCAUGGGGAUGUCAGCUUUCUAUGGCCCUCCGAAGCCUGAAGCUGACAUGAUCGCUCUCAUCCACCAUGCAAUCAACUCUGGGGUUACCCUUCUUGACACCUCUGAUGUUUAUGGUCCCCACACCAAUGAAAUUCUCCUUGGCAAGGCCUUGAAAGAUGGUUUCAGAGACAAAGUUGAAUUGGCAACUAAGUUUGGUUUAGACUACAGUGAAGGCAAGAACGAAAUCCGUGGUGACCCUGCUUACGUGAGGGCGGCCUGUGAAGGUAGCUUGAAGCGUCUUGGUGUGGUUUGUGUUGAUCUUUACUAUCAGCAUCGGAUUGAUACCAGAGUUCCCAUUGAAUUCACGGUUUGUUUUUGUUUGGGCUUUCGGUCCCCUGCUUUUUACUUUGUCAUGAUCUAGUUAAGAAAUGAGAAUUCUUCAUCGUUUUAUUGAUUGUUGCUUUUCUUUUUUUACUCAGAUGGGUGAACUUAAGAAGCUAGUUGAAGAAGGUAAAGUAAAGUACAUAGGUCUAUCUGAGGCUUCUGCUUCGACAAUUAGGAGGGCGCAUGCUGUUCACCCAAUAACUGCUGUGCAGUUGGAGUGGUCUUUGUGGUCUAGAGAUGUUGAGGCCCACAUCAUUCCUACUUGCAGGUUACUUAUCCACAAGACUGACAAAUUUUUUAAAAAUUAGUGAUUUAGAAACCUUAUUCUAAUGUGAUUCCUUUUAAUUUCUUAGAGAACUUGGAAUUGGGAUUGUUGCUUACAGUCCUCUGGGGAGAGGAUUCUUUUCAUCAGGGCCUAAAAUUGUGGAAACUUUGUCCAAUGAUGACUUCAGAAAGGUUUGUAGCUAUUCUUCACAAUUGGAUAUACGUUCAUAACAAGUACUAAUUAUUUGUUACUUUUUGGCAUAUCAAAAUUUUAUGGUAUGAUAGAUUUUUUUGAUCAUGAUAUGUGAAUCAGAGAAAAUCCACAUCAAUACUUGCACAAGAAAGUUUAGAAGUCUACAGACGUAACAAGAAUUCUUUUAUAUCUGACAGCCAGAUUUUUUUAAGUGUGUAAGUUGUACUGCAACAUUCCCCUUUUUGUUAGCCAACUUCGUAAAGACCUCCCGAUUUUAGUCUUGGGUGCCUCAAGGCCAGCAAUCUUGUUCUUUCUAAUUUAGUGGGACUUUCAUGUGAAUUGGGUUUAUUUACAUGUCGGUGUGUACUGUCUAAGUGUAUAUUCUCCAACUGUGCACUUGGGUAAGGGUAGACUAGUUAAGAAUCCAAAUUUGAGUAUGUUCAUAACCUGUUCCCCUUCUCUUUCAAAACUUAUUUUCAAAAUGCAAAAACAUGUUGGGUAGUAACCUUCUUUAGCUUCUUCAUAAUAACAGAGGGCUAACUAUACCUUUAUGUCGUAGUUUGCCUCUAAAAUGCCCCUUUCCCUUGGGUUAUGCAAGUGUGUCAUGUGAUCCAUUGAUUAAAUGUUUUGAAUCGACGAACUUGUAUUACUUACAGAAAUUGAUGGUCUGUGGCUGAUUGUCUUUAUCUUUUAUGACACAAUCAUUUGAAAUGAAUAUUGAAUUGUGACAGUCACAACCAAGGUUCCAACCUGAAAAUCUGGCGCAUAACAAACGCCUGUAUGAGCGAGUUAACGAGAUAGCAGUGAAGAAGGGGUGCACCCCAUCACAGCUUGCGUUGGCUUGGGUCCAUCACCAAGGGAAUGAUGUCUGUCCCAUUCCCGGAACCACCAAAAUCGAAAACUUCAAUCAGAACAUUGGAGCUUUGUCCGUGAAAUUAACAGCUGAAGAGAUGGCUGAGCUAGAAUCCAUUGCUUCAGUAGAUACCGUGAAGGGAGAUAGAUAUGGUGAAGGUAUCUCUACUUACCAUGACUCUGAGACUCCUCCCUUGUCUUCAUGGAAACCUGAAUGAGGCUUAUGCUACCAUAUUGAUUGACGAGUGUUUCUACUUUGUAUUUCGAGAAUAAAUGUUCCGUUAGAAUUAUAAUCAUAGAUUGCAAACUUGGUAUGUGGUAGCUAUCUAAGUUUGUCAUGGUUGAGAUUGUCUAUUCUAAGGUAAUUAAGCAAAUGUUUCAAUACAUUUUAUAUUAUAUGUAUAUAUAUAUAUAUAUAAUAUUAUUGUGCUUGCUUUUUAGCCAUUCUCCUAUAAGUUUGUCAAUCAUUUUAAUGCAAUAUAUUAUUGUUUGGUUAUUACAUUUGUUGUACAUCUUAUUUUUUGAAAGAAAAAAGAAAAAAUAUAUUUAAAAUAAUAAAAAAUUAAGAUUAUAGAUGUUUUUUAUAUUAUAUUUUAAUUAUUGGUUUAUUUUUAAUCUUUAUAUUGGUCUUGCCUUAUAUCUUUUUUUGGGAAAAGUAUAUAUCAUAUAAUUUUGCUUUGUCAUAAAAACAGUCACCAAACAAAUCCAUACUUUUUUAUGGAGGCAGCAAAGUAUAAUAUAUUGGAGAUUCAUUACCCCUUUUCCCCAAAUUCCCCCCAUUUUAUAAUCCGCAUAGUUUCUAAAAGAACACAAAUCAAUAUAAAUAAAAAAAAAUGAAAAACAUUGUUGCAGAAUCCACAUGGAACUAUCGGUUCCAACGUUUUCCUGCUCUUAAUGUCACCACCUACUAUUAAGUACUACUCUAACAGUUGACACUGAACCGCAACUUCAUCAACAACACACCUCCUGCCACUGUGCAACCGCUUCAGCUAGCUUAGCUAUUCAUUCUCACCAGUGACACAUGGCGACUGCAAAAGUUGGGAGGAUCAAGUUGGGUUCUCAAGGCCUGGAAGUGUCUGCUCAGGGCCUUGGCUGCAUGAGCAUGUCAGCUUUCUAUGGUCCUCCGAAGCCUGAAUCUGACAUGAUUGCUCUCAUCCACCAUGCUUUCAACUCUGGGGUAACCUUUCUUGAUACGUCUGAUAAUUACGGUCCCCAUACCAAUGAAAUCCUCCUUGGCAAGGCACUGAAACAUGGUUUCAGAGACAGAGUUGAAUUGGCUACCAAGUUUGGUAUAAACUAUUCUCAAGGCGCAAGGCAAAUCCGUGGUGACCCCGCGUACGUGAGGGCGGCCUGUGAAGGUAGCUUGAAGCGUCUUGGUGUGGAUUGUGUUGAUCUUUAUUAUCAGCAUCGGAUCGACACCAGGGUUCCCAUUGAAGUCACGGUUUGUUUUUGUUUUGAAUUUUGUCCCCUGCUUUUUUUCUUUGUUAUGACCUAGUUAAGGAAUGAGGCAUCUUGGUCUUUUUAUGAAUAGUUCCUUGUGUUUUUUUAAUUUUUUGCCCAGAUGGGAGAACUUAAGAAACUAGUUGAAGAAGGUAAAGUAAAAUACAUAGGGUUAUCUGAGGCUUCUGCUUCGACUAUUAGGCGGGCACAUGCUGUUCAUCCAAUAACUGCUGUGCAGUUAGAAUGGUCCUUGUGGGCUAGAGAUGUUGAGGAAGAAAUAGUUCCUACAUGCAGGUUAGCCAUGGAUAAGAGUAAUAAUUUAAAUCAUUUGAAAUUGUAAAUUCUAGUGUCUCAUUCCUUUUCAUCUCGCAGGGACCUUGGGAUUGGGAUUGUUGCCUACAGUCCUCUGGGGAGAGGAUUCUUAUCAUCAGGGCCUAAACUGGUAGAAACUCUUUCUGAUGAUGACUACAGGAAGGUUUGUAGCUAUUUUUCACAAUUGGAUAAUUGUUCAUAAGAAAUAAUUACCUGUUACUUUUAGCCAUAUCAAAUUUUAUGGUAUGAUAGAUUUUAUCAAGUAUGGUAUGUGAAUCAAAGAACAUCCACAUCGAUAGACAUGACCCGAGUUUUUAUAUCUGUCAGCUAAAUUUUCUUGAAGCUUAAUUUGUUCUGCAACAUUUCCAUCUUGGUUGGUCUACUUUGUGAAGAAGACCUCCCAAUUUUAGUCUCCAAGUGCCUUAAUGCUAGCGAGCUUUUUCUUUCUAAUUUAGUGAUAUCUCAUGUGAAUUGGGUCUAUUAAGUAAGUGGUACAUUCUUCAUCAGUCCAACUGUGUACUUCGGUCAGGGUGUACCAGUUAAGGACUGAAAUUUUAGUAUGUCCAUAACUUUUUCCUCUUUUCUGUCAUAUUCCAUUACCAUUAUGUAGUGAAGUCUUAUGUAUAUAGGGUAACUAUCUAGUGAAGUAUUAUGCAGGCGUGUUAAGCUUCAAAUCCCAUUAAGAAUAUAUUUUUCAAAAUGCCUACGUUCUUCUUAAUAACAGAGGGCUAACCAUACGUUUAUAUUCUAGUUUGCCUCUAUUUGGCUCCUCCCCUUGAGUUAUGCAGGCCUCUCUUGUGAUCCAUUAGUUAAUAACCAUUACUAAGGUGAAGUUUUUACUAUCGCAACAGUUAACAAUCUUCUAAUGCAUCUUUAAAAUAAGACAAACUUAAGGCAAGUUUGUAGAGGAUAUCUGUUUACUUCGACUGAUAUCUGUGUCAUAGAAGAGACAUCUGCUACAUGUGAUUGGAAGUUUUCUAUCAGAUUUCCCAGUUGAUUUAUAAAUUAGGUAAUGAGCUUCAGUCCUCCUAAUUUCAACAACUGAAGUUAAUGACUGGACUCUGGAGUACAGGAAUGCACUUAGGGAACUGCAUGGUGAUUGUUUGUUUUAAAAAUUAUACCCCUGUGAAAUCUGUUUCAAAUAGGCAUUUAGCCUAUAUUUAAAUUAUAUUUGAGGAUAAAAGAUCCUCUCUGUAGUUGGGCAAUUAAGCAAAAUGAGGUCCAUUUUGAGAACUAAUGAUGGCAUGAGUUGGCAAACACUAGCUGAAAUUUCUUGAAUCAUGAAUCUUUAUUAUUUACAGAAAAUACUGGUUUGGUGCUGAUUACUCUUUAUGUUUUAUGACACAAUCAAUUGAAUGAAUUUUCAAUUGUCACAGUUUCUACCAAGGUUCCAACCUGAAAAUCUGGAGCAUAACAAACGCCUCUAUGAGCGAGUUAAUGAGAUAGCAGCAAAGAAGGGGUGCACCCCAUCACAGCUUGCGUUGGCCUGGGUCCAUCAUCAAGGGAAUGAUGUCUGUCCCAUUCCUGGAACCACUAAAAUGAAAAACUUCAAUCAGAACAUAGGAGCUUUGUCCUUGAAAUUAACACCUGAAGAGAUGUUUGAGCUAGAAUCCAUUGCUUCAGCAGAUGCCGUGAAGGGAGACAGAUAUGGUGGAACUGCCGCUACCUACCCUGAAUCUCAAACUCCUCCCUUGUCUUCAUGGAAACCUGAAUGAGGGCAUGCUAUCAUAUCGAUGCAAUCUUCAUAAUGAGUUACGGACUUAAUGUAACACCUUGGGGAUGUGUUUUAAAAUCACAAU